rnacentral:rRNA from 1 species
UACGGGGGGGGCAAGCGUUGUUCGGAAUUACUGGGCGUAAAGGGCUCGUAGGCGGCCAACUAAGUCAGACGUGAAAUCCCCAGGCUCAACCUGGGAACUGCGUCUGAUACUGGAUGGCUUGAAUUCGGGAGAGGGAUGCAGAAUUCCAGGUGUAGCGGUGAAAUGCGUAGAUAUCUGGAGGAAUACCGGUGGCGAAGGCGGCAUCCUGGACCGACAUUGACGCUGAUGAGCGAAAGCCAGGGGAGCGAACGGG